rnacentral:lncRNA from 1 species
UGCUGGGAUUAUAGGCGUGAGCCACCACACCCGGCCCGACAUUUUUCUUUUUCAUAUUUUAAAAUUGCUUUUUGGAAAGUAUAGAUAAGAAAUACUUUAUUUAUCCAGGUCUUAUUUAAGGGUACAGGCGUGAGCCACCGCGCCCGGCCUAUUAAAAACCUUUUUAAAGUAUGUUUAGGUUUCAGCUCGUAUGGUUGUGUAGUAGAGCCGGUUACCUCUUCCAAGGGAAUUCCUAGCUCAGCUUUCAGCCGUCUCUGUGCUGCUCGCCUCACUCCAAGGGCGUCACUUUCCUCAAGCUCGGCUGGAUUACUUAAUGGAUGACUACAACACGUGUUAGUAAAACAACCUGGAAAAUGGUAAUACAGAGACAGAUCAACUUUUCUUCAAAGUAGGUCUCAAAGAUCAAGAAAAAGUUUUAUAAGUAACUGAAAAAUGAAAUGAUUUUUAAGGAUUUUAAAAUCAGUUAUAAUGGGCUAUCAGUAAUUAUUUUAAGGAUUUUAAAAUUGGUUAUAAUGGGCUAUCAGUAAUUAUUUUAAGGAUUUUAAAAUUGGUUA